UACGUAGGGGGCUAGCGUUGUCCGGAUUUAUUGGGCGUAAAGAGCUCGUAGGCGGUUCGACAAGUCGGGUGUGAAAACUCCGGGCUCAACCCGGAGACGCCACCCGAUACUGUCGUGACUGGAGUCCGGUAGGGGAGUGGGGAAUUCCUGGUGUAGCGGUGAAAUGCGCAGAUAUCAGGAGGAACACCGGUGACGAAGGCGGGUCUCUGGGCCGAUACUGACGCUGAGGAGCGAAAGCGUGGGGAGCGAACAGG
rnacentral:rRNA from 1 species